AAGAGCCCGGUGACGAGAGAUCGUCACGCCGGGAUCUGUGGGAGCCCGGGGGUGCGAUUCCCCCGGGCCACCCGAC
rnacentral:ncRNA from 1 species